UACGUAGGGCGCAAGCGUUGUUCGGAAUUACUGGGCGUAAAGCGCACGUAGGCGGCUUAGCAAGUCGGAAGUGAAAUCCCUCGGCUCAACCAAGGAAGUGCUUUCGAAACUGCUGAGCUUGAGUACGAAAGAGGAUCGCGGAAUUCCCGGUGUAGAGGUGAAAUUCGUAGAUAUCGGGAGGAACACCAGUGGCGAAGGCGGCGAUCUGGGUCGAUACUGACGCUGAGGUGCGAAAGCGUGGGGAGCAAACAGG
rnacentral:rRNA from 1 species